AUUGAACGCUGGCGGUAUGCUUUACACAUGCAAGUCGAACGGUAACAGGUCUUCGGAUGCUGACGAGUGGCGAACGGGUGAGUAAUGUAUCGGAACGUGCCUAGUAAUGGGGGAUAACCACUCGAAAGAGUGACUAAUACCGCAUAAUAUCUCAGGAUGAAAGCGGGGGACCGUAAGGCCUCGCGUUAUUAGAGCGGCCGAUAUCAGAUUAGGUAGUUGGUGGGAUAAAAGCCUACCAAGCCAACGAUCUGUAGCUGGUCUGAGAGGACGACCAGCCACACUGGGACUGAGACACGGCCCAGACUCCUACGGGAGGCAGCAGUGGGGAAUUUUGGACAAUGGGCGAAAGCCUGAUCCAGCAAUACCGCGUGCAGGACGAAGGCCUUCGGGUUGUAAAGCUCUUUCUAGACGGAAGAAAACGACAUCGGUGAAUACCCGAUGUGGAUGACGGUACCGUAAGAAGAAGCACCGGCUAACUACGUGCCAGCAGCCGCGGUAAU
rnacentral:rRNA from 1 species